UAAAUGGCUUGGUGCUUUAUCUGUUCUUGCCCUGCACAGUAUGGAAUUGUUUUACAACGUGAAGCCACGGAGCUCGCAGCAACAAAUGCCUGCAAUACCAGUGUCGAGACAGUUGAGGGAGCUGCAGAGCCAUUGACUGUGGUGCAGAUAUUGGUAAACACCAGUGGAUGCAGUUGUCAAAAGAAACUGUACUACAGCUCUGUGAUGUUCUCAUCCUUGUUUGUGGAAACUUGGUGGGCAGCCUGGCAGGCGACUGACUUGUCUACCUUUGACUGUGAAUACAGGUAAGGAGAAUGAUUCCAACAACUCUUUCACUAAUCUUGCUAUGACUGUAUCCAUCCUUCUCCGCAAGCUUCCAUCCUUGCCCAUAACCUUGCAUCCUUUCUUGUGA